CUGUUCCACUGGUUAAUUGUCCUCACUGUUAGGAAGUUUCUCCUUAAUUCUACACUGCUUCUCUCUUUGAUUAUAUUCCAACCAUUGUUUCGUGUUUUGCCUUUUGGUGCUUUGGAAAAUAG